rnacentral:lncRNA from 1 species
CGUCGUCGUCGUCGUCGUCGUCGUCCGAAUACUUUUAGUUUUCGCACUCUAACUUUAGUAAAAGUGAAUAGAAAUCAAUGAAAUUUUAACACAAGGUUUAUGACCACAAAAGGAAGGUUGGGAUUGAUUUUGGGAGUUUUGGUCCCAACAUUUUAGGAAUUAGAGGCCAAAAAGGGCCCAAAGAAGCAUUUUCUUGGUUUUCGCACUAUAACUUUAGUUUAAGUGAAUAGAAAUCUAUGAAAUUUUGACACAAGGUUUAUGACCACAAAAGGAAGGUUGGGAUUGAUUUUGGGAGUUUUGGUUCCAACAGUUUAGGAAUUAAGGGCCAAAAAAGGGCCCAAAUAAGCAUUAUUCUUGGUUUUCGCACAAUAACUUUAGUAUAAGUAAAUAGAAAUUGAUGAAAUAUUAACACAAGGUUUAUGACCACAAAAGGAAGGUUGGGAUUGAUUUUUGGAGUUGAGGUCACAACAGUUAAUGAAUUAGGGGCCAAAAAGGGGCCCAAAUAAGCAUUAUUUUUGGUUUUUGCACCAUAACUUUAGUAUAAGUAAAUAGAAAUCUAUGAAAUUUAAACACAAGGUUUAUGACCAUAAAAGGAAGGUUGGGUUUGAUUUUGGGAGUUUUGGUCCUAACAGUUUAGGAAUAAGGGGCCCAAAGGGUCCAAAAUUGAACUUUGUGUGAUUUUAUCAAAAAUUGAAUAAUUGGGGUUCUUUGAUAUGCC